CCUGACCCAGCGACGUCGCGUGGGUGAUGAAGGCCUUCGGGUCGUAAAGCCCUUUUAUGCGGAAAGAAUAAUCCUGUGGUGAAUAUCCACAGGAUCUGACGGUACCGCAGGAAGAAGCACCGGCUAACUCCGUGCCAGCAGCCGCGGUAAUACGGAGGGUGCAAGCGUUGUUCGGAAUUACUGGGCGUAAAGGGCGUGUAGGCGGUUGUGCAAGUCAGAUGUGAAAUCUUCCGGCUUAACCGGAGAACUGCAUCUGAAACUGCACAGCUAGAGUACAGGAGAGGGAAACGGAAUUCCCGGUGUAGAGGUGAAAUUCGUAGAUAUCGGGAGGAACACCAGUGGCGAAGGCGGUUUCCUGGCCUGAUACUGACGCUGAGGCGCGAAAGCAUGGGGAGCAAACAGGAUUAGAUACCCUGGUAGUCCAUGCCAUAAACGAUGAACACUAGGAGUGGGAGGUGUAAUACCUUCUGUGCCGAAACUAACGCGUUAAGUGUUCCGCCUGGGAAGUACGGCCGCAAGGUUGAAACUCAAAGGAAUGGACGGA
rnacentral:rRNA from 1 species